rnacentral:sRNA from 1 species
GCUGGCAUUCGACAGCAAAAAGCGCGCUUGUUUGGGCCAAGCGCGCUCCGGCGAACGAUCUGC